UAGGUGUGAGUCUGUGUUAAGAGUUUAGAAAAAGUAUCUGAAGUAUGGUUAAGCGCUUGUUAGCGAUUGAAAAAAACUGUAUUCCCAUUACGUGUUACUUACUUCACUUGCUAUGCAGGUCUCCUUUAUAACAUUAACAUUAUUGAUUUAGUUCAUUUACAUGUGAAUUGUACGCACAAUAUCAGUAUAAAUGUGUGAUGUCAAACAUACCCCUCCCUCUUUACGGAGUUACAGGUCACAACAAAUACAUGUAAUCUGUAGACUGUGGGAUAUACUUUUGUUUUCUUUUUUUGUAUGUUAACAAUUGGAUUAACAUUUCACUAUUUGCUUAUGUUUCUAAACAGUUUCUAAAAAAGAAAAGGAUUGUCCACACAACAGCCAGGAGGUGCACGCAUAUAGAUGCGUGAUCAAAACUAGGAAGAGAAAGGGGAAGAUGGAGAAAUUGAUAGAUUGGCUCCCCUGCAAACUGUGCGGGAAAACCUGGCCUCCAACAUGGGAGACUGCUUGACACACACACACGCACACACAAUCACUCACUCACUCACUUACUCAUUCUCUCUAUUUCUCUCUAAUAAAAUAAAA